AACGAACGCUGGCGGCAUGCCUAAUACAUGCAAGUCGAACGAGAUCUUCGGAUCUAGUGGCGCACAGGUGCGUAACGCGUGGGAAUCUGCCCUUGGGUUCGGAAUAACUUCUGGAAACGGAAGCUAAUACCGGAUGAUGACGUAAGUCCAAAGAUUUAUCGCCCAAGGAUGAGCCCGCGUAGGAUUAGGUAGUUGGUGAGGUAAAGGCUCACCAAGCCGACGAUCCUUAGCUGGUCUGAGAGGAUGAUCAGCCACACUGGGACUGAGACACGGCCCAGACUCCUACGGGAGGCAGCAGUAGGGAAUAUUGGACAAUGGGCGAAAGCCUGAUCCAGCAAUGCCGCGUGAGUGAUGAAGGCCUUAGGGUUGUAAAGCUCUUUUACCCGGGAUGAUAAUGACAGUACCGGGAGAAUAAGCUCCGGCUAACUCCGUG
rnacentral:rRNA from 1 species